GGAUGGUUUUUGUCAAUUAGGCCACACACAUGGGUAGCAGAUUUCAGAUCCUCAUACCAAGGACUGCAGGUGCCUCUGUGAAUUGAUACCUGUGACCAAUUAAUACAGAUGGAAAAAUAGAUGAGUCUUUCACUGUCUGGACACAGCUGCCUUUUUCUAUCACUAUUCCUACAGAUGGUCCUGAUAUAGUGAGAGACUGGACAGACAGACUGCAACAUCAUAGACCAAGAUGAUGUAACAGAAUGUGUGGAUGGCCUUGGAAAAGUUGCUGCUGAGGAAACUGAGAUAAAGAGCAGGAAUUCCCAAUGGCUUAACAGUCAGAAAUAGAAACUUGGGAAGGACUAAUCGAUUAGGCACUUAAAAGUGGUGGUAGAAAGUUUGUACUUUCAGACUUGCAAGAUUCUGUUAAUGUAGCCUUACAAUAAAGUAGAAUUAGCUCAUUUAGUCCUCUUUCCU
rnacentral:lncRNA from 1 species